UGCGGGGUGAUAGCAGUGGUAGCUGGUCAGGCUCAUAACCUGAAGGUCGGUGGUUCGAAUCCAUCCCCCGCCA
rnacentral:tRNA from 1 species